rnacentral:lncRNA from 1 species
GCGGCCGCCCAACAGGGACGCGAGCCGGGACCACGCCGACCCAGCGUGCCCAGGCCGAGGAAAGCGCGGCGGCGGCAGUCCGAAGACCCACCGGGACUGAAAGAGAAGGACGAGGUCAUCUUCGGACGGGAGGGGCAAGCCAGCCAUCCUGGGACCCCAGGCGUGCAGGUUCUCUUUGAGGGUAUUCCACCCUGCAAAAAGCAUGUAUUCAUGGUCAGCUCUCAGCAAGGCCAGUAGCAGAGUGGUAAAGGCCUUGGCCCUCCAAGGCUGGGAAAAGACAAUGACAAGUCAAAUCCAGACCUAUGUUGUAUGUUGGUCUACUAGGUGACUGUCUCCUGGAAAUGUUAUGCAGCUCAGCAAGGUGAAGGUGAGAAUAUCUUUGCUUUUUGAUAAAACACAGAAUGCAUAGAUUUCACAUCUCACUAUGUGAGCCCCCACAAAACAAAACCUAGAGGAGCAUGUGAGAAAAACGCAUCUCU